rnacentral:rRNA from 1 species
AUUGAACGCUGGCGGCAGGCUUAACACAUGCAAGUCGAGCGGAGAUGAGGUGCUUGCACCUUAUCUUAGCGGCGGACGGGUGAGUAAUGCUUAGGAAUCUGCCUAUUAGUGGGGGACAACAUUCCGAAAGGAAUGCUAAUACCGCAUACGUCCUACGGGAGAAAGCAGGGGAUCUUCGGACCUUGCGCUAAUAGAUGAGCCUAAGUCGGAUUAGCUAGUGGGUGGGGUAAAGGCCUACCAAGGCGACGAUCUGUAGCGGGUCUGGGAGGAUGAUCCGCCACACUGGGACUGAGACACGGCCCAGACUCCUACGGGAGGCAGCAGUGGGGAAUAUUGGACAAUGGGGGGAACCCUGAUCCAGCCAUGCCGCGUGUGUGAAGAAGGCCUUAUGGUUGUAAAGCACUUUAAGCGAGGAGGAGGCUACUGAGACUAAUACUCUUGGAUAGUGGACGUUACUCGCGGAAUAAGCACCGGCUAACUCUGUGCCAGCAGCCGCCGUAACAC